AACUCCUCCUAAACAACUUGGUAACUCAAAAACCAAAAUUCUCAAAAGAAUACAUUUUAAUAAAACGAUGGAGGCGGCAAGAAAAUAUUCUGUAACAGUGGGCUUUUUGUUGGCUUUUUUUAUCAUUGCAUCAUAUAUGGCUAUAGAAUCAGAAGGAAGAGGAGUGAGUGAGAGGAUUCUCCAAGUCUGUGUCACUACUACUGAUUGUUUCAGUAAACAUUUUCCUUGCCCACCCGACAUGGUUCCCUUCUGUAUUGAUGGUUCGUGUAAAUGUUUUCACGAAUGAAUUGUAAAAUAAUCGUCAUGUUUAGACGACAAUAAUCAAUAAAAUGAUUUCAACAUAUGAAAUAAUAUGGUUCUAUAUUCAAA